AAGUCAUGCUCGAAAUGGAGCGAGGCGGCGGAGCUGGGGAGGCGGUAAUCUCGCGAGAUGGAAGCCAGCCUCCGCUAGGCCCGGAAGCCUCGUCUGAGGGGGCGGGGGACGGAGGAGGGAGCGGGAGUCGAGCGAGAGCCUGUGGAGGAGUCCGCCUGCUGUAGCGUGCGUAAGCAAGGCAGCUACGCCGGGCGGCUACGCUGCGGAAUCGGCGUAGGCGCCUUUGGAGAAUCGGCGGGCUGCGCUCCGCUGGGGCUGGUCGCGGAGGGGGGGAGGGGAUGUCGGUCAGUGCGAGAUCCGCUGCUGCUGAGGAGAGGAGCGUCAACAGCAGCACCAUGGCUCAACAGAAGAACCUUGAAGGCUAUGUGGGAUUUGCCAAUCUCCCAAAUCAAGUAUACAGAAAAUCGGUGAAGAGAGGUUUUGAAUUCACGCUUAUGGUAGUGGGUGAAUCUGGAUUGGGAAAGUCGACAUUAAUCAACUCAUUAUUCCUCACAGAUUUGUAUUCU
rnacentral:lncRNA from 10 species